rnacentral:misc_RNA from 1 species
GUAAAUGUAGCCUUUAUUUUCAUUGUGCCCUAAGACCUUCCAGUUAUUACAAAUACAAUGAAAAUUCUUGUUUAAACCUUAUUUAUUAUAGACUCAAAAUAUAAAUAUAUGAAAUUUAUAUAUUUAAUAGAUAGAUCCUACCAUAUAUCUUAUAUUUUGGCUCAUGAUAAACCGAGUAUAAAUACAAAAAAUCCAACAAUACCACCAGACUUGAGGUAUGUUACAUUGACCAUAUGGUGACAUUCUUUUUUUUUUUUUAUUGGAUUUUGUCCGGGGGCUGAACUUGCAAUUUUACUGAAAAUCAUGAACUAGCAUCACCUAAUCUAUGCAUAAGAUGAGAUAUAUUUCUUAGCCAUUAGCCAGAGAUGCUCCCUCUUGUGCACGGUGAUGCCUGGCAGCACGUUAUCAGUGUCAAUGUCUUCCCUUUUCAUCCCAGCUGGCAUUUCCCAAUCAAAUUUGUAGAGAAGAUUAGCAAGUGAAAGCUCCACAUUAGCAAUUCCCAUAAAUAUUCCAGGACAAAUUCUUCUACCAGCGCCAAAUGGUAUUAACUCGUAAUCCUGUCCCUUCAUGUCAAUAGGAUUAUCCAAAAAUCUCUCUGGAUAGAACUCCGAUGGGUUUUCCCAAGCUUCAGGAUCCCUCCCAACUGCCCAUGCGUUCACAUAAACUAGGGUUUUUUCAGGUAUAUUAUAACCACCUAAAGUGCACUUGUGAACUGUUUCUCUAGGGACUAGUAAUGGAACUGUUGGUUGCAGUCUCAUCGUCUCUUUCACCACAGCCUUAAGGUAAGGCAAUUGGUGAAUAUCGUCUUCAUCAACAAAACCCUUUUUUCCAAUUAAGCUUCUAAUUUCUUCUUGAACUUUUUUCAUAGUUUUAGGAUUUUUCAUUAGAAAGCUCAUGGCCCAAAUCACUGCUGCAGCACUUGUGUCUGUUCCAGCAACAAAUACGUUCUACAUGGAAAUAAAAAUAAAAUAUAAAUGAUUAAUAAUAAUAAUAAUAAAAAUAUUGAGAUUAGCUUGCAUUACCAUGAGAAUUGCUUUGAUGUGUUCAAAGGUUAGUUGAACUUUAAAAGAACGAUCCUUCCAAAGUUGAAGUAAAACAUCAAGAAUGUUCUCAUACUGGGGCUUUUCCCUCUUUGGAUCGAGGUGUUCAUCGAUGACCUCUUGGUAGAAAACAUCAAAUUCAUGGAAAUUCUUUUCGAGUCGGGAGAGCAACCCAGAGAGUUUAUCAACAAUCCAGCCGAUGUAAGGAAAAUAGUCUGAAAAGAAGAAGCCCACAAACAUGGCCUGAGUUUCGUUAAGCAACUCAUGAAACCUCUUAGCUUCAUUUCCCCCUUCCUCGAAUCUCUUCCCAAAGGCAACUCUGCAUAUUGCAGCACUUGUAAGAGCCAUCAUGGCUUCAGUCAAGUUGACAGGUUUAGAAUCAUCAGCUAAUUUCGAUAUAUUUUCAAGCAUACGGGAAACUUCAUCUUCUCUAAUGGGACGAAAGUCUUGGACUCGGUUUGAGUUGAAGAGAUAGACGACACAAAUUUUUCUCAUCUCCCUCCAAUAAGCAUCAUAGGGUGCAAAAGCCAAAUCUAAACCAUUGUAGGACAAUCUUUGUAAACCAAGCAAGGGAGGCCUAUUACAAAAUUCAAGAUCUUGGGUUUUCAAUACCUCUUUUGCCAUUUUGGCAGAAGAGACUAUUAGAGUUUGCUUCAAACCUAGCCUUAAGGACAUGAGUGGGCCAUAUUGAUUGGAUAGUUGCCAUAAAUACUUCUGAACGUUGGAGUUGUCAAGCUGGAAUAGGUUUCCUACUAAGGGAAGACCCUUGGGACCAGGAGGGAGACGAAGGUUUCUUCUGGGUGUUUUGAGAAGAAAAAAGAGGAAGAUAGGGAGAAGAAGAAGGAAGAUGAGCAACCCCA